GGGAAGGGGCGUAGGACCCGCUCCCUUUUCUUUUCUCGUUUUGCCUUCCAUUCCUGCGGCCACAGUGAAGCUUUUUUCUAAGACUUCGUCUGUUCCAAUGUCAGACUUCCUUAGGCAAACCGGUCAGGAAAGUUUAAAUACAACAGCGAGCCCGUCCGGACCCUAUCAGAAUAAAAGGUGGAACCUUAACAGUCAGAAAUAACUGCCACCUUUUACAGAUGAGGUCCCAAUGGGUUGGUUUGCCCAAAAGCACACUGCAAACUGGAGUCAGCAGCAGCAGUCCCACUAUUUUGCCACUAGACUAAGCUGGCAGUAAGAACCUUGCAGCACAGCUAGAAUGUAAACUGACACCAAACCAGUAUUUGUCUCAAUUGAUUUUUUUUUUAAGAGUACUGUCUCCUGUGCCAGUGGUCAAUAUAUUGUCUCUCAGCUCCACAUUCACUCUCAUUUCUCUUCUCGGGAUGGAGCUGGGCCCUUUGAGCAUUCCUGCUUUGCCAGGUGGCCCAGUGUGAAGCUUUGCCAGGAGAAACGGCUGGGAGGCAGUGCAGGAGGAGGGGGUUUUGCCACCUGGUUCCAGUGAGCUUUCUCGGCAGGCACCUGCAGAAAGAGGCCUCUGAAGCGCCUACCUCCCUACAUCAAGGGUAGCUUCUCCAGCUCUGGGUUCUCCGAAGCACCUGGCUCUGCAGUGAGGGGCUGCCAGCAGUACCCAGUACCCAGCAGCUGGCAUAUCCCUCCAGCACCCACGUUGGGAAGUUUUAUAUCCGAGUGGUCAGCAAGACACCUGCAUGAACAGUUUUCCAGAGGGUGGACUUCAGCCAGUUCUGCCAGCACUUCUCUGCCAUUCGGUGGACGGCCCUCGACUGCUCCGCAGCAGAUGGUCUGUAAGAUGGCCUGGUCAAGGCUUCUAGCAGAUUCGGAUCUCUCUCUUCAGUCCAGGUGCAAAUGCUGAACACACCAGUCUCCUGGGGCUGCCGUCGGGACACUUGUCGGUGAGCCUCAUGGUUCUGCAGUCCUAGGAGCGAGGCACUGGCUGCCCUUUGACUUUCUUUUCAAAGAUGUUCAAAUAGACAGCCUGGCUUCCAUGUAACUGAUGGGCUACCUUGUCACGUGCCAUUGCUGGGGGGGGGGGUAUGUCAGACCCUUCACAGUUCCUGAAAGCACAGCCUCCCAACCCCCAACAGACUCUGCCCUGUGUUCCUGCUCCAGCUUCAGCAGCAGAAAUCCCAGGAUGUGAGAGCUAGAAGACACCUGAGAGAUGAUCCCUUCCAAGGAUGACAGGUUCUUCUGGGGACUCUGCAGUGGUUUCGGUGCCGUGUUGUCUGCUUCCAGAACAAGGAUCUUCACUGUACAUCAGGACCCAGGCCCCUCUGACAUCUCCUGAAUGAGAAACAAGGGAUUUAAUAAAACGGUGUAAAAUUUGUAGUUCA